GGGUUGUGAGGUUAAGCGACUAAGCGUACACGGUGGAUGCCCUGGCAGUCAGAGGCGAUGAAGGACGUGCUAAUCUGCGAAAAGCGUCGGUAAGGUGAUAUGAACCGUUAUAACCGGCGAUGUCCGAAUGGGGAAACCCAGUGCAAUUCGUUGCACUAUCGUUAACUGAAUACAUAGGUUAACGAGGCGAACCGGGGGAACUGAAACAUCUAAGUACCCCGAGGAAAAGAAAUCAACCGAGAUUCCCCCAGUAGCGGCGAGCGAACGGGGAGCAGCCCAGAGUCUGAAUCAGCUUGUGUGUUAGUGGAACGGUCUGGAAAGUCCGACGGUACAGGGUGAUAGUCCCGUACACCAAAAUGCACAGGCUGUGAACUCGAAGAGUAGGGCGGGACACGUGGUAUCCUGUCUGAAUAUGGGGGGACCAUCCUCCAAGGCUAAAUACUCCUGACUGACCGAUAGUGAACCAGUACCGUGAGGGAAAGGCGAAAAGAACCCCGGCGAGGGAGUGAAAAAGAACCUGAAACCGUGUACGUACAAGCAGUGGGAGCACCUUCGGGUGUGACUGCGUACCUUUUGUAUAAUGGGUCAGCGACUUAUAUUCUGUAGCAAGGUUAACCGUAUAGGGGAGCCGCAGGGAAACCGAGUCUUAACUGGGCGUUAAGUUGCAGGGUAUAGACCCGAAACCCGGUGAUCUAGCCAUGGGCAGGUUGAAGGUUGGGUAACACUAACUGGAGGACCGAACCGACUAAUGUUGAAAAAUUAGCGGAUGACUUGUGGCUGGGGGUGAAAGGCCAAUCAAACCGGGAGAUAGCUGGUUCUCCCCGAAAGCUAUUUAGGUAGCGCCUCGUGAACUCAUCUUCGGGGUAGAGCACUGUUUCGGCUAGGGGGUCAUCCCGACUUACCAACCCGAUGCAAACUACGAAUACCGAAGAAUGUUAUCACGGGAGACACACGGCGGGUGCUAACGUCCGUCGUGAAGAGGGAAACAACCCAGACCGCCAGCUAAGGUCCCAAAGUCAUGGUUAAGUGGGAAACGAUGUGGGAAGGCACAGACAGCCAGGAUGUUGGCUUAGAAGCAGCCAUCAUUUAAAGAAAGCGUAAUAGCUCACUGGUCGAGUCGGCCUGCGCGGAAGAUGUAACGGGGCUAAACCAUGCACCGAAGCUGCGGCAGCGACACUAUGUGUUGUUGGGUAGGGGAGCGUUCUGUAAGCCUGCGAAGGUGUGCUGUGAGGCAUGCUGGAGGUAUCAGAAGUGCGAAUGCUGACAUAAGUAACGAUAAAGCGGGUGAAAAGCCCGCUCGCCGGAAGACCAAAGGUUCCUGUCCAACGUUAAUCGGGGCAGGGUGAGUCGACCCCUAAGGCGAGGCCGAAAGGCGUAGUCGAUGGGAAACAGGUUAAUAUUCCUGUACUUGGUGUUACUGCGAAGGGGGACGGAGAAGGCUAUGUUAGCCGGGCGACGGUUGUCCCGGUUUAAGCAUGUAGGCUGGUUAUCCAGGCAAAUCCGGAUAAUCAAGGCUGAGGUGUGAUGACGAGGCACUACGGUGCUGAAGUAACAAAUGCCCUGCUUCCAGGAAAAGCCUCUAAGCAUCAGGUAACAUCAAAUCGUACCCCAAACCGACACAGGUGGUCAGGUAGAGAAUACCAAGGCGCUUGAGAGAACUCGGGUGAAGGAACUAGGCAAAAUGGUGCCGUAACUUCGGGAGAAGGCACGCUGGUGUGUAGGUGAAGUCCCUGCGGAUGGAGCUGAGACCAGUCGAAGAUACCAGCUGGCUGCAACUGUUUAUUAAAAACACAGCACUGUGCAAACACGAAAGUGGACGUAUACGGUGUGACGCCUGCCCGGUGCCGGAAGGUUAAUUGAUGGGGUUAUCCGUAAGGAGAAGCUCUUGAUCGAAGCCCCGGUAAACGGCGGCCGUAACUAUAACGGUCCUAAGGUAGCGAAAUUCCUUGUCGGGUAAGUUCCGACCUGCACGAAUGGCGUAAUGAUGGCCAGGCUGUCUCCACCCGAGACUCAGUGAAAUUGAACUCGCUGUGAAGAUGCAGUGUACCCGCGGCAAGACGGAAAGACCCCGUGAACCUUUACUAUAGCUUGACACUGAACAUUGAGCCUUGAUGUGUAGGAUAGGUGGGAGGCUUUGAAGCGUGGACGCCAGUCUGCGUGGAGCCAACCUUGAAAUACCACCCUUUAAUGUUUGAUGUUCUAACGUUGGCCCCUGACCGGGGUUGCGGACAGUGUCUGGUGGGUAGUUUGACUGGGGCGGUCUCCUCCCAAAGCGUAACGGAGGAGCACGAAGGUUAGCUAAUCCUGGUCGGACAUCAGGAGGUUAGUGCAAUGGCAUAAGCUAGCUUGACUGCGAGCGUGACGGCGCGAGCAGGUGCGAAAGCAGGUCAUAGUGAUCCGGUGGUUCUGAAUGGAAGGGCCAUCGCUCAACGGAUAAAAGGUACUCCGGGGAUAACAGGCUGAUACCGCCCAAGAGUUCAUAUCGACGGCGGUGUUUGGCACCUCGAUGUCGGCUCAUCACAUCCUGGGGCUGAAGUAGGUCCCAAGGGUAUGGCUGUUCGCCAUUUAAAGUGGUACGCGAGCUGGGUUUAGAACGUCGUGAGACAGUUCGGUCCCUAUCUGCCGUGGGCGCUGGAGAAUUGAGGGGGGCUGCUCCUAGUACGAGAGGACCGGAGUGGACGCAUCACUGGUGUUCGGGUUGUCAUGCCAAUGGCACUGCCCGGUAGCUAAAUGCGGAAGAGAUAAGUGCUGAAAGCAUCUAAGCACGAAACUUGCCCCGAGAUGAGUUCUCCCUGAGACUUUAAGUCUCCUGAAGGAACGUUAAAGACGAUGACGUUGAUAGGCCGGGUGUGUAAGCGCAGCGAUGCGUUGAGCUAACCGGUACUAAUGAACCGUGAGGCUUAACCUUACAACGCCGAAG
rnacentral:rRNA from 1 species